rnacentral:lncRNA from 1 species
AAUAAGAGAAACAUUAAAGUCGAAAAUAAACUGACAACGCCAUGGCUUGAAAAGAAAGAAAAAAAUCGUUAUUUUCGAAAGCAACGUCAUUGACGAUAAACUAUGACAUCAUCGUUGUCCUACUUCACUCGACUGAGAAAAACAAAUUUAAAGAAGAAAUGCAAUAAAGACUCAUUAUGUAAAUCAAAGAUAAGUUAUGUGGCUUCUUCUAUGGUCCUCAGUAAGAAUAUGUUUCCAACCCAGAACUACUGUUAGACAGUCUAAUGAAGUAGAAAAUCGCCAUGAUGAACAAUUAGGAAGAUACAAGUAAGCCAAAAUGUGAAUUGUGGAAUUGUUGUGAAUUUAUACUUGAUGAAAUCAAUUAAGAUUGUUAAGUACAUUGUUUCCAGUCCGAGGCCAAUCAUUGGCCUAGUAUCCAUGUAUAGAUAUUUGAAUGGCUCUCAUAUCAAAUGACAAAACCAUAACACAUGAUCUAAUUGUUAUUUUUAUUUUAUAGUAAAUUGUAAAAUAUUUCACCAUAUUAACAGUUGAGAAUUAUAUUUACUAGAUUUAUAAAAAAUUAAAAAAAUACUUUCCUAUUGAUAGUGAAGUGAGGUAUUAGUAAUUGAAAUGUUAUCACAUAAACGUUAUUAGAAAUACUGUCAACAAUAAAUCAAGCACAUUCGUUUUUUCACCUAUUAAUCAAAAUUGAUUAAAUGUUCUAGUAAUAAGUUUUGUUGUAUAUCAAAUAAAUUGAUUAUGAAUACGAAUAACCUACAAACA